GUGAGUUUGAUCAUUUUUAACAACUAUUUAACGCACAAUACACACAAAACCGUUAUGUUCAAACCAAACUUAUAAUUAGUAUACAUUUAUGUGAAACAUACCAUUUGACACCAAAUCACCAAAGUUUUAUUCCUCUUUCAACCUGGCUUGAAAUCAGCCCGGUUUGUGUAAAGUUACCCAAGUGAAUUUUAAUUCCUUUGGACAUUUCUUAGUUUACAUGAUAUAUUUUACGAUAUAAUUCCUUAAUUUAUCUUUACGUUUUAAUGAACUUCAUCAGCGUGCAUAUAUCUUGUUGGAUGAUGAAGCCGUUGAAGCGCAUCAGUGCAGAUGAAUUUGUGGGUUUCUUCCUAG